GAGGUUGUGGCUCAGUGGUAGAGCACUUGCCUAGCAUGUGUGUGCCACUGGGUUCAAUACUCAGCACCACA
rnacentral:tRNA from 1 species